UGUGUGCCUCAUUGGAUUGCCCCAAUGUCGUGGGCUUCUGUCAGCAGCGCUAUAAAUAAGGCACGUCCAUUGGCACAGCCCAGCAGAUAAGGGCCCAAGCCUGGCUCCUGCAAGCCUUUUUUGGUCUCCAAAUGAAAGAAGUCUCGGGCCCCAGUUGGGAAGAGGCUGUUGCGUAUGUUCCUAUUUGGCCUGCCUGUCUCAAGGACACCCCAGGCCUCAUGUGUAUUCCAGCAAUCCAAGAGCAGCCAAAACAGGGAGGCCAUUAGGUCCAGAACCUUCCAGUGUAUAGCCCAGGGCUAGCUAUAUGCCUUGCUGGAGGAUGCAGGUAGCUGGCACGUGAAUGAGGGAGCACUUUUCUGAGGAGACAGGAGCACCUCCACAGGUUCACAAGGGAAAGCCUGGUGUCUGACGCUCCCUGUUGGAAAGACUUCACUGACCUUCCUUCUCCAGCUUAGGAGGACAAGGGCAUUUGCCUAGUUCUCAGCUGAGACAUCCUGUAACCAAGGACAGAUGUGCAAGAGAAUAACUGAUAUAACACCACAGUGACCACUGUGCAAAACUGUAAGGGGACUGGAGGAGAAACCUGGCCAGACCUGCCUGUUCAGAUCCCCCCCACGCUCCCCUGGAGCCCCCAGAUAUGGAGUAGGAUCUCUCUGAAAUGAGGGUCUUACUGUCUCCCAUCAGACAAGACAGGAGAGCCAGCUGUGACCCCUCGAAGAUGGAUGAGGAAGGAAAUGGAGCUCCUUAUCAUCCUUACCAUGCGUGCUCUUCUACCUAGCCAGAUGGUUCACAGAGGUUGGAUUAAUACAUUUAAUGACAGAGGAAGAGGCAAGCCAGGGAGCCUGAGGACAGGCUGAAGGGAAGGAGGAACACGAGGCUAGGUCAGGAAGCCACAGGGCUAGGUCAGGAAGCCUUGAGGCAACGUUGCUGGGAAGGAGAAGCACAGGAAUGCACCACCAUGCUUUGUCAGCAGAGAAGGCAAAGAAAGCUUGGUGGUUCUGGACCAGGAAGUUCGCAGAUGCAGGACCAAGUUGAGUUGGAGUGCAGAGCUGAGUGCCUCAGGACAUGUUUCACCCACCAGAUGUCUAUCUGCAGAAACUGGGAGGACGAGUCAGCUUUGUUCCAAGUGGCUGCCGGGAUUACCUAGCCGCUGGGUCUGAUCUUCCUGAAAGCUCCUUGUAAACAGCCCUUCUGCACUUCCCAGAACAAUGACAGCUGCAGAAAUGUCUGCAGUGUAAACACAUCCCUGCAGCUCUGGAAACUCUCAACCCGAAAAGUAACACCAGCUUUUGCUGACGUGACAGAAUCCAGGCUUCUCUUCCUUGUAAGUGUGGCUUAGCCAGAGCUCGUUUGGAUGUGGAGAAGAACCAGAUUACCUUCCAAGCAAGAACUCAGAUUGGAGUCUCUGGCAAGCUAAACCAUCCCAUUCUUGGGGGCUUAGAGGGUGAUACCCCACCAUGAAGGCUUCUGACACUAAACUUUUCCCUCAUUCUCUCCUGCCCUCCUGUCUGCUACCCUGUGCAUUCUUCCUGUGGUGGUUUGAAUAAAAAUGGCCCCAUAGGCUCAUAUAUUUGAAUGCUUAGUCACCAGGGAGUGGCACUAUUUGGAAGGAUUAGGAGGUGUGGCCUUGUUGGAGAAGUGAGUGACUAGGGAUGAACUUUGAGGUUUCCAGUUAGGUCUAGCGUCUCUCUCUUAGCCUAUGGAUCAGGAUGUAGAAUUCUCAGCUGCUCCUCCAGAACCAUGUCUGCCUGAUUGCCGCCAUAAUGAUAAUGGACUAACUUCUGAAACUGUAAGCAAGUCCACAAUUAAAUGCUUUCUUUGAUAAGAAUUGCCUUAGUCAUGGUAUCUCUUCACAGCAACAGAACAGUGACUAAGAUACUUUCUCAAGGCAAGCCAUAGAGACUAUUCCCCAACAUGGGUCAUGGGACCCAAAAUCUCCUUUCUCCACAGCUAGCUACUUGUCCACGUAAGAGCUGGUCAUAAAGAAAUUCUGUGAUCUACAGUCUACAGCAUACUGGUAGACCACAGGAUACCACCAACCCCAAUUCCAGAAAGGGUUCUGCCCACAUUUAGAAGAAAUGAAUGCUGCACAGAGACACUAAGAAGAAUGUGAACAGACAGACCCUGCUGGCCACCUGCCCCAGGUUUAUUCCAUUAGCUCAAACGCUUUUGUACAAUCACAUUUUACACGGCUGUUCACACUUAACCAACCUAAAGAUGAAAAGGGAUUGUUCACUCUGGUCUUUAGUUCUUUAAUCUGUAGGCUUUCAUGCCCUGUGAAGCUGUGAUUAAAUAAAUUUGUUAUUUUGAUUAGA